rnacentral:rRNA from 1 species
UACGAGGGGGGCAAAUGUUGUUCGGAAUCACUGGGCGUAAAGGGAGCGUAGGCGGGUUCUUAAGUAAGGUGUUUAAUCCCGGGGCCCAACCCCGGACCGGCACUUUAAACUGGGAAUCUUGAAUAGUGGAGAGGUCGGUGGAAUUGGGGGUGUAGCGGUGGAAUGCGUAGAGAUCCCCAAGAACACCAGUUGCGAAGGCGGCCGACUGGACACAUAUUGACGCUGAGGCUCGAAGGCCAGGGGAGCAAACAGG